GACGAACGCUGGCGGCGUGCCUAAUACAUGCCAGUCGAGCGAAGUUUUUCUGGUGCUUGCACUAGAAACACUUAGCGGCGAACGGGUGAGUAACACGUAAAGAACCUGCCUCAUAGACUGGGACAACUAUUGGAAACGAUAGCUAAUACCGGAUAACAGCAUUAACUGCAUGGUUGCUGUUUGAAAGUUGGUUUUGCUAACACUAUGAGAUGGCUUUGCGGUGCAUUAGCUAGUUGGUGGGGUAAAGGCCUACCAAGGCGACGAUGCAUAGCCGACCUGAGAGGGUGAUCGGCCACACUGGGACUGAGACACGGCCCAGACUCCUACGGGAGGCAGCAGUAGGGAAUCUUCCGCAAUGGGCGAAAGCCUGACGGAGCAACGCCGCGUGAGUGAAGAAGGAUUUCGGUUCGUAAAGCUCUGUUGUUAGGGAAGAAUGAUUAUGUAGUAACUAUACAUAGUAGAGACGGUACCUAACCAGAAAGCCACGGCUAACUACGUG
rnacentral:rRNA from 1 species